rnacentral:rRNA from 1 species
UACGUAGGGGGCAAGCGUUGUCCGGAAUUAUUGGGCGUAAAGAGCGUGUAGGCGGCCAGAUAAGUCCGCUGUGAAAUCUCGAGGCUCAACUUCGAGCUGUCGGUGGAAACUAUCUGGCUAGAGUCCGGAAGAGGAGAAUGGAAUUCCUGGUGUAGCGGUGAAAUGCGCAGAUAUCGAGGAAGAACACCCGUGGCGAAGGCGGUUCGUCUGGGACGGUACUGACGCUGGAGAACGCGGAAAGCGUGGGGAGCGAACAGG